rnacentral:lncRNA from 1 species
CGCAUGUGGGACCUCCUUGGUGACAUCCUCUACCCCUAGCAUGUUGGAUCGGUCGCUCCCAGGAGAAUAGGAAAGCCACGCCUUUAGGUGGUUACACUGCAUUCUCCCGUCUCGGAAGAGAAAGUGGAGUCUUGGACUCAAUAACAAGGCAGAAAAAUCCAUGUUUCUCAGGGGGCAGUGGUGGCUGGGAGGGGCUUUAACCCCAGUGCCGCUCUGCACGGCGGAGAAUCGGAGCGUGGAGCCAGGGCUCACCUGCCCCAGCGCGGCCGGUCACGGCCCGCCUUUGGUCAUCCUGCCCACCGGCUUGUGACGCCCAGAGCCAGACUGUGGCCGGGAAGGAGAGACAAGGCAAGGCCAAAGGCGUGAGCUGAAGUUAGCAAGAAAAGUGUGCGGGUGAUGAGGCGCGGACCUGACCGACCGCGCAGCACGGGAGCCGCCGGAGGGCAUCGAGCAGCGGGCGGCCCUUCCGGCUUCCUGUUGGCGAGGCCGACCCGCACCUGAGCGAGUCCCGGGUCUGCAGGAAGGUGGUGGCUUGGGAACUAGGAGCAAAGUCGCUGUUUUAAGAAAAGAUGUGUUUGUGUCUGCUGCCCCUGUGUGGCCACAUGCACGAACUACACUCUCGUCUCUGCCUGACCUGAUUCUGGGGAAAGGCACGUUUUCAGAGGCUGUUGAUUUCUUCAGCACUGUUUUGCAGUUCUACGACUUAGCUCCUAAAAAAUCACAGAAUCGUAGGUUUGUUUUUUGUUUUUUAAAGUAAAACUAUCUUGAGGAACUCCCGAGGGUGGCCAAUUCUGCCUUCAAGCAUCCUUAGUUUUUGACUCUAAAAGACGGAGGGCAUUCAUUUCUGUUAUUUACCUUUUAAUGAGCAAAUGUUUUCUCUAGCUCAAAACUUUUGCAAUUAGAUGUUCCAUUCAGAUCUAAUUACCCCAGAUCCAGGCCUAAGUCAUGCAUCAUAUGCUUGGCAACAGACCCCCUUCCACCCUUCCCCUUGAGGGUUUCCGGGGCACCAGCUGUUAGGCUUUGGGGAUCUCUAGUCGCUCUUGUCCUCUUUCAGUGCCCCACGGCCAUGCACUCUCUGGGCCCUGGAAGUCCUUCCAAGCGUCUUUCUUAUGCAUUUUUAUCUCAUUGCAUCGUUCCAUGCUGGCUCACUGUUCUCUUUGGCACUUGGAUGGCCGUUGGUGGAAGGGUCUUCCUUACCCGUCUCCCACUCCCUGACCUGGGAGUCGUUGUGACUGGAUCUCAUGGAAGUGGCCUGAGGAUGGAAUUUGGAACCACAAGAACGCAUGAGAUCAUCUAGCACGAGAAUAAGAGGAACCAGGGAGCUUAAUGUCAGUCCAGCUCCCCCCAGGAUUACAUCACCCAAUUUUAUUGGCCAUGGGUGAUCAACUCACCUUCAUCUCUCUGAUAUCAUGGAUUUGUUCCACUGUUUUAAGUGAAAGUUGAAGACUGGGAUAUUCCUUCGCAUGCCACACCCCAUGGAAGUGAAGGGAAGAGGCAAAACUCAAAUGGUCCGGCGCCCACUGGGAGCCUUGGAACUUAUGCCCCUCCGAUAUCAGGGGACAACUGUAUCUCCUAAUCAAGAAGGACCACAAGUCUGAUGGAUGAAGGAUUCUAGUUAGCAAGACAGACUCCAUAUUGCUGCUGAAUGACCCACCUGCCUGUCCCUUUAGAUGAACUCAAAAGGAGGAAGCUUAGAAACCUCCUCCCCUUAGAGAGUCUCUUAGAAACAAAAAUUAAUCAACUAUUGUUUUACAAAUGUUAUAACGACAGGAUGUUCCCCUCUAUACCUUUUGCUUGCUUUGCUAGUUCUAUCCCAUAGGGGGGCCUAGAAACCGUUGGCCUCAAAGGUGUAUAAAAUAUGUUAAUCGAGCCCCGACUGGGGGCUGGAGUCCGAUGCUCGGCUGGGGUCCGGC